AUUGAACGCUGGCGGCAGGCCUAACACAUGCAAGUCGAACGGUAACAGGAAACAGCUUGCUGUUUCGCUGACGAGUGGCGGACGGGUGAGUAAUGUCUGGGAAACUGCCUGAUGGAGGGGGAUAACUACUGGAAACGGUAGCUAAUACCGCAUAACGUCGCAAGACCAAAGAGGGGGACCUUCGGGCCUCUUGCCAUCGGAUGUGCCCAGAUGGGAUUAGCUAGUAGGUGGGGUAACGGCUCACUUAGGCGACGAUCCCUAGCUGGUCUGAGAGGAUGACCAGCCACACUGGAACUGAGACACGGUCCAGACUCCUACGGGAGGCAGCAGUGGGGAAUAUUGCACAAUGGGCGCAAGCCUGAUGCAGCCAUGCCGCGUGUAUGAAGAAGGCCUUCGGGUUGUAAAGUACUUUCAGCGGGGAUGAAGGGAGUAAAGUUAAUACCUUAGCUCAUUGACGUUACCCGCAGAAGAAGCACCGGCUAACUCCGUG
rnacentral:rRNA from 1 species